AACGAACGCUGGCGGCAUGCCUAACACAUGCAAGUCGAACGAAGCCUUCGGGCUUAGUGGCGCACGGGUGCGUAGCGCGUGGGAAUCUGCCCUUGGGUUCGGAAUAACAGUUAGAAAUGACUGCUAAUACCGGAUGAUGUCUUCGGACCAAAGAUUUAUCGCCCAAGGAUGAGCCCGCGUAGGAUUAGGUAGUUGGUGGGGUAAUGGCCCACCAAGCCGACGAUCCUUAACUGGUCUGAGAGGAUGAUCAGCCACACUGGGACUGAGACACGGCCCAGACUCCUACGGGAGGCAGCAGUGGGGAAUAUUGGACAAUGGGCGAAAGCCUGAUCCAGCAAUGCCGCGUGAGUGAUGAAGGCCUUAGGGUUGUAAAGCUCUUUUACCAGGGAUGAUAAUGACAGUACCUGGAGAAUAAGCUCCGGCUAACUCCGUGCCAGCCGCCGCGGUAA
rnacentral:rRNA from 1 species